rnacentral:rRNA from 1 species
GAGGAAUAUUGGUCAAUGGCCGGAAGGCUGAACCAGCCAUCCCGCGUGCAGGAUGACGGCCCUAUGGGUUGUAAACUGCUUUUGUACCUGAAGAAACCUGGUUACGUGUAGCCAGUUGCCGGUAAGGUAUGAAUAAGCAUCGGCUAACUCCGUGCCAGCAGCCGCGGUAAUACGGAGGAUGCAAGCGUUAUCCGGAUUCAUUGGGUUUAAAGGGUGCGCAGGUGGGAAAAUAAGUCAGUGGUGAAAUACUGCCGCUUAACGGUAGAAUUGCCAUUGAUACUGUUUUUCUUGAGUAUGGUUGAGGUAGGUGGAAUGUGUUGUGUAGCGGUGAAAUGCAUAGAUAUGACACAGAACGCCGAUUGCGAAGGCAGCUUACUAAGCCAUUACUGACGCUGAGGCACGAAAGCGUGGGGAUCAAAC